CUCUCCACUCCUGCCUCCUGGAGACUCAGCGAGCUCGUCCCUCAUUGACUCUACAUCACCCCUUACCCACCGGUCCCAGGUGCACACACGAGACCAGGCCCAGAGGUUGUCUGCAGAGUGAGAUUAUGGCGAAGCAUUUUAUUCUUUUUACAAACCUGCUUUUUCUCAGUUUUCCACAUUGGACUUGCCAGCUACCUGCCUUUGCAGGACACCUCAGAAGUUACAGACCUGCCUGUGGAAAUGCAGAGAGCACCUGAGGUAUUUCCCAGACUCUCCAGUAGUAGCCUUGAAUGGCUGACCAACCGCGGUUACCUGCCAGAUCUUCUCAGAACCAGCCAGCCCAUCAGCAACAUGCCCAUUAAGUGGCCUGACCCAGCCCAGAUGGAAAACCCCCCUCCACGUGACUUUCUAAAGAACAUGCAUGAAGACAAAACACCAGGUGCCUCAGGCAUGACACCCUGAGGACACAUCACCUGUACAGUAUCCUAACCCACCCAAGACGACACAGUAAGGUAAAACCACAGUAGAGCCCAGGCCUGUUUGACUCUGAAGUCCAGGCUCCUUUCCAACUUAGUGCCCUAAAGGCCUGACUGGGGUGGGGGUAGGGAGGAAGAUUCAAACACUGAUGUUUGUAGCCCAGGCUGGGAGGGCAACAGCUCUAGAAAAAAAGCCAUUCACUGCUGUAACCAUCUUCCAGCUAACUGCAGUGAGGUGUACAGGGCCAUGGGGCUCUGGGAUGAAGUCUUCCACCUCUACACCUUGUAAACAAGGAUUCCAGACACACCCUCCAAAUGGGAAUGGAGACACACGUUUGGCAGAGUUGGACAGUGAUGCUGCUCUCUUAUCAGCCUGGACUUCGAGGGGAGUGGAAAACUGAUGAGUGUGGAGGUGCAGCAGUCCUGGUAUCCCCUGAAACCAGCCUGUGAGAGGACAGUCUUCCCUGGGGAGCUGCUCAGGAUGGUCCUGGUCCAUGCAUCAGGAAGAAAACGGAACCUGAGAGCAGAGGGAAAAUGCAGAAAGUGGGGCAGGGAAACUGCUCCCUGAAACCCCCAUGGGCUGCUGGUCCCAGCAGAAAGUGUUGCCGGAGGGGGAGAGGCGGGGUGAAAUGGGACAGGAAACGAGGACUUCCGAUGAGGAGGAGGAAGGGGCAGUGGGCUGCGGGUCUUGGGGACUGAACAGAAUGGGGUUUGCUAGGCAGAGCUUUCCUCUACCCACUCCUAAAGUCCUGCUGGACCUCAGCUGGCCCCUGUGAACUGCUGUUGAGGGGGAUAUAAACACAAAGGCCUGCAUUCCUGUGGGUGCACAACCCUAAGAGACCGUGGACUGCGUCUGUGUGGUGAGAACAGGAAAAGGAGGCUGAGCGUAGCCCUGCUUGGAAUUUAGCCUCCACCACAGAUGUAUCCACUACCCAGGGUCAAAGACUCGGCAGCCUCAGAAGACUCAAUGGAAGCUGAGCACAGGACUAGAAAGGGUCAGGGCCCUCCUCCGUAUGUAGGGGUGGCACAUGGCGACUAGCUGGGUGAUGGGGCACUGAGAAAUUAAAUGUUUGACAUAAAAAUGUAAUCAGGACCCGAAAGGAGGUGGGUGGUGUAAUGAACAGCAUCCUAGAAGUCCGGUAUAGAUUUCACACGUCACCUUCUAGUUCCUUCUCUGCAAAUUGAAAGGUGAGGUCAGGUGCAGUGGCUCACGCCUGUAAUCCCAGCACUUAGGGAGGCCGAGGAGGGCGUAUCAUUGAGGUCAGGUGUUUGAGACCAGCCUAGCCAACAUGGUGAAACCUCUACUAAAAAAUAAAAAAUUAGCUGGGUGUGCUGGCACACGCCUGUCGUCCCAGCUACUUGGGAGGCUGAGGCAGAAGAAUCCUUUGAACCUGGGAGGCAGAGGCUGCAGUGAGCUGAGAUCACACCACUGCACUCUAGCCUGGGCAUCAGAGCGAGACUUCUUAAAAGAAAAAAAAAAAAAAGUUUAAAGGUGAGCCAGUUCAGGCAUUCUAGCAGCACUGCAGUUACAGACAGUAAACUGCACAAAUCCUGGGUGUAAAGUUAUUUUUUCCUAUGUAACCACCACCCAUUUACAGCAUCCCAGAAAGUUCAGAUGUGUCCCUUCCCAGUUUACAGCCACCCGCCUCCCACCCUCACUUCUAAAUCCGAUUAGCAGUGUGUCUUGGAAAUUAAUAUACAUGGAAUCAUAUAGUAUGUGCUCUUGUGUUUGGCUUCUUUGCUCAACAAGAUGUCCAUGAGAUUCAGCCGGGUUGUUGCCUCGCUCUGUAAUAUGUUAAUUUAGGUGUACUAUCCAUUGUCUGGAUAUACAAUUGCCUAUUCUCU